AAGCGACUGAAGUUCCGGAGCAGUCGCAUGAGCUUACCGGUUACCAGGAGGCUCCGGGAACAGACACCUCACCCUGACAUUGUGGCAGGAACUUCUGGACUGUUUUCCAAAGUGGCUGCACUGUUUUCUCUCCUCACUGGGCAGGAAAACAUCUAAGAAUGGAGGCUCCCCCUUCCCUUGCAGGGUGACCAGCAAUUAAAAAGAAGUACUAGAGAGGCAAAUAUUGGCAGUAUACAUCUAAGCGCUGGUCAGAAAAGAAGGAACCCAACCCAAGAACUCGCCCAAUCUGAUACUGGAGGUGCCGCUCAAGAACCACUCCCUCCAAGAUGUUUUCCUGGAUUUCCUCAGCCUAAAGUAAUCCCUCUUUUUCCUGAUUUCUUCAUGUUGGCCAGGCUGGUCUCCAACUCAUGAC